AGACGUUGCUAGGAUUGGCUUAGUUCCACAUUUCAUGCUUUAUCUUGGUUGUUUGGUGUUGCCUACACUUUCCAAAGGAAAUUGACAGAUGACUGAAGUUUUAUGACCUGAAAGAAAUAAUACAAGAUGGGUGCUUCAUGUGGAAAGGUGUACUUAUCCAAGGUUAAAAGGAAGAAGUUGAUAGGAUUGGCUUAGUUCCAAGCAUGUUCUUUGAAGAUGGUGAUAUUUCAGAUGCUAUAUAUUGAUUGUUCGGUGUUGCCUACAUGAUAUACUUCCAAAUGGAAAUUGGCAGAUGACUGACAUUUUAUGACAUGAGAAGAAUAAAAAGUUUUACUUUCUAUGGGGUUAAACUUUAGGAUCAAAGAGAAAUCACAAUGACUUGCGUAUGAGUAAGGAUAUCCUAUUAUCCAGUUCAGUGAAGAAACAAGCAGAUGAUCCACCCACAAGCAGCUGCAGCAGUGACAUGAAUU